GGAAAUGGCUACGGGUAUCCUUUUCGCUGCGAUGCCGUCUCUCGUCUUGCUCUGCAGAUGAUUGUCAGAUGAGCGAGCGAGGUCAGCAGAGGACCAGCAAGGGUUGAGAUCACACCGUUUGAACCUGAUCAGCGCUCAUACCUGCGUAGGGAAGCCUCAGUGUCGCCGC
rnacentral:ncRNA from 1 species